GUAGCAGAAUAGUUUGUUCUUUAAUUGGGAGUUGGUAUGAAGGGUCUCACAAAAAAUAUCUUUUAAAUUAAAUUAAGUAAAUUAAAGUUUAAGUUAAAAUGCUUAAAUAUCGUAAAGGGACGAUAAGACCCUAAAAGCUUUAUUUAUCCUAUAUUGAAUAAUUUAUAUUGUAAAAAUAAAUAAAAGAUAAAAUUAGCUGGGGAAGUGGUUUUAAAUAAUUAAAAUUUCAAAAUACUUAGGCUCAGGAUACAUGAUCUUAUAUAUAAGAAUUAUUGGAUAAAGUUACUUUAGGGAUAACAGCACAAUGAUUUUGGAGAGUUCUUAUUUAUAAUAUUAUGUGUGACCUCGAUGUUGAAUUAAAAUAUCUUAAAGGAGCAGAAAACUUAUAAGAGGGUUUGUUCAACCUUUAAAUUUUU
rnacentral:rRNA from 1 species